rnacentral:tRNA from 1 species
UAAAAAUUAGUUAAUUUAUAACAUAAGCUUGUCAAGCUUAAAUUAUUAGACUCUAAUAUUUUUAA